rnacentral:rRNA from 1 species
GAUGAACGCUGACAGAAUGCUUAACACAUGCAAGUCAACUUGAAUUUGGGUUUUUAACUUAGGUUUGGGUGGCGGACGGGUGAGUAACGCGUAAAGAACUUGCCUCACAGCUAGGGACAACAUUUGGAAACGAAUGCUAAUACCUAAUAUUAUGAUAAUAGGGCAUCCUAUAAUUAUGAAAGCUAUAAGCGCUGUGAGAGGGCUUUGCGUCCCAUUAGCUAGUUGGAGAGGUAACGGCUCACCAAGGCGAUGAUGGGUAGCCGGCCUGAGAGGGUGAUCGGCCACAAGGGGACUGAGACACGGCCCUUACCCCUACGGGAGGCAGCAGUGGGGAAUAUUGGACAAUGGACCGAGAGUCUGAUCCAGCAAUUCUGUGUGCACGAUGAAGUUUUUCGGAAUGUAAAGUGCUUUCAGUUGGGAAGAAACAAAUGACGGUACCAACAGAAGAAGUGACGGCUAAAUACGUG